GGUUAAAAAGCUCGUAGUUGGAUUUCUGUUGAGGAUGGACGGUCCGCACUAAGUGCGUGUAUCUGUUACAGCCUCGGCAUCCUCUUGGAGAACGGUGCUGUGAUUCAUUUCAUGGUCCGGAAUUCAAGACUUUUACUUUGAGGAAAUUAGAGUGUUCACGGCAAGCAAUCGCUUUGAAUACAUUAGCAUGGAAUAAUAAUAUAGGACCUUGGUACUAUCUUGUUGGUUUCUAGAACUAAGGUAAUGAUUAAUAGGGAUAAUUGGGGGCAUUCGUAUUAACGCGUCAGAGGUGGAAUUCUCGGAUUGCGUUACGACGAACUACUGCGAAAGCAUUUGCCAAGGAUGUUUUCAUUGAUCAAGAACGAAAGUAUGGGGAUCGAAGACGAUUAGAUACCGUCGUAGUCUAUACCAUAAACUAUGCCAACUAGAGAUUGGAGGUCGUAUUUUUUAUGACUCCUUCAGCACCUUAUGAGAAAUCAAAGUCUUUGGGUUCCGGGGGGAGUAUGGUCGCAAGGCUGAAACUUAAAGGAAUUGACGGAAGGGCACCACCAGGAGUGGAGCCUGCGGCUUAAUUUGACUCAACACGGGAAAACUUACCAGGUCCAGACAUAGUAAGGAUUGACAGAUUGAUAGCUCUU
rnacentral:rRNA from 1 species